UACGAAGGGGGCUAGCGUUGCUCGGAAUUACUGGGCGUAAAGGGCGCGUAGGCGGAUAGUUUAGUCAGAGGUGAAAGCCCAGGGCUCAACCUUGGAAUUGCCUUUGAUACUGGCUAUCUUGAGUUCGGGAGAGGUGAGUGGAAUGCCGAGUGUAGAGGUGAAAUUCGUAGAUAUUCGGCGGAACACCAGCGGCGAAGGCGGCUCACUGGCUCAUUACUGACGCUCAGGCGCGAUAGCGUGGGGAUCAAACAGG
rnacentral:rRNA from 1 species